CCUGGGGCCGCCGCGUGAGGGAGGAGGCCUUCGGGUUGUAAACCUCUUUUCUCAAGGAAGAAGUACUGACGGUACUUGAGGAAUAAGCCUCGGCUAACUCCGUGCCAGCAGCCGCGGUAAGACGGAGGAGGCAAGCGUUAUCCGGAAUUAUUGGGCGUAAAGCGUCCGUAGGUGGUUAUUCAAGUCUUUUGUUAAAUAGUGGAGCUUAACUCCAUAGAGGCGGAAGAAACUGAGUAACUUGAGUGCGGUAGGGGUAGAGGGAAUUCCAGGUGUAGCGGUGAAAUGCGUAGAUAUCUGGAAGAACACCAGUGGCGAAGGCGCUCUACUGGGCCGUAACUGACACUGAGGGACGAAAGCUAGGGGAGCGAAAGGGAUUAGAUACCCCCUGUAGUCCAAGGGGAUUGGGUCCCCUGGUAGCAAUGCGGGCUGUGGCCAAUAGGGGAUUAGGGUAGUAUGGGUCGUGGGGUGGUGGUC
rnacentral:rRNA from 1 species